rnacentral:rRNA from 1 species
UACGAAGGUGGCAAGCGUUGUUCGGAUUUAUUGGGCGUAAAGAGCUCGUAGGCGGUUUGUCGCGUCGGCCGUGAAAUCUCCACGCUUAACGUGGAGCGUGCGGUCGAUACGGGCAGACUUGAGUUCGGUAGGGGAGACUGGAAUUCCUGGUGUAGCGGUGAAAUGCGCAGAUAUCAGGAGGAACACCGGUGGCGAAGGCGGGUCUCUGGGCCGAUACUGACGCUGAGGAGCGAAAGCGUGGGGAGCGAACAGG